rnacentral:lncRNA from 1 species
GAAAAUCUCAAAGGAUUAAUGUCAUGAACUUUCAACUGAAUAACCAUGUUCCAUACAACGUUAUUUAAAAGAGAUAGCUUUCUAGACUAAUUCCUAAGGAUUGGACCCUAAUAACCAAACAAACUUGACUCAAUAAUUGGCCCAUUAAACUCAAAGGUUUAACACAACAUUGGCCUUUUUAUUGAUUAAAAAAAUAACUAAAUAAAGAGGUUAGUUUAAAGCCAAACAAUAAUUAAUUAAAACGGUAAAAUGGGAAAAAUCCUAAAAAUCAUGAUACGAUCCGCAAAAUCUCCUUACUAGCAAACAACUACUCGGACGUGCACGCGUCUUAUCUGACACAAGUCUUCUAGUCACAAUGUUUUUGUGUUCAGUCACAAGAUGUACCAACGACUUAUAGUACAAAGUCUUCUACCCCCUCCUUGAACAAACACUUCAACUAAUUAUUCGCUCUGCAUCCAUAUCAUUCCCUUUCUCUUUAAGAAGAUUUGUCCUCAAAAUUUUGACCUUUUCUUGCCGAAAAUAAUUGUGAUCACCUUGCUCAAAUCCCUGCAAAGUAGCCAUAAAAGAAUGAAAUCGAGGAUAAAUUGAUGGGCUAGCAGAAAAUAUUGAGUCCUACGAUAAUGACCCAGUCAACAAACAAUUAGAUUUUUUUUCUGCAACAUUUGUUCUCCUUUAGUUUGCGUUCACUCUCUCUUUUUCUCCUUGCCAACUCCUUUUCAUAUUACCAUUUCAAAUACAACUGGUCCUCAUACACUUGUUGGGGGGGUAAGUGGAGUAAGUGUAAUUUUCCUAUCCUUAUAUUUGAAAGAACAGCUAUUAGAAAGUUUGCUAUAAUUAACUCUCUUGUCAAACUGCCAAGGUCUUCCAAGUAGAAUAUGGCUUGCUUGCAUAGGAACUAUGUUACACAAUAAAUCAUCCUCAUACUUCCCAAUGCUGACAACCACUAGAACUUGUUUUGUAACUCGUAUCCCUGCAUCAUUGGUAAAUCAGUGUCUGAUAUAUGGGCUCGGAUGAUUAAUUGUUAGUAGUGCAAGCUUAUCCACCAAGAUUGUACUCUCAAAAGUUUGCACAACUCCCACCAUCAACAAUUAAGCCGCACACCUUAUCCCUAACACAACGUCUAGUAUAGAAGAUAUUAAUGCAUUGUCUCUGGUCUACUUCUGCCUUGACUUGUGCAUUUAAAGUUCGAGUAGUCAUAAAGGAAAGUUUUCCAAGUGCACGUUCUUCAUCAUUAGACUGAUUUUCAAUCAAAGAAGGCGUUAUUUCAAACUCUUUCUUUUCUAUAGAUUCAAUUUGUCCAUUUAAUCGCCAUAACCCGUUUGUUUGGGCACUUGAGAGCUUUGUGACCACAUCCCUGACACUUAUAACAUUGGAUAUCCUGACUCCAAAUAAUAGAAACUGGAGUGUUGCUUGAGAUUUUAGGUGUUUCCACCUUAAGUUUUGAAGGUACUCUAUCAUCACUUGACACACUCCUUGUUCUUGGGUUUAUAGCCACCCCUUCUCUUCAACUGUCUCUCAAUUUUGAUAGUCUUUUGCACCAUCACCUCUAACUCCAUGUAGUGCUGCAAUUCAACUACAUAUGCGAUGUUUGGAUUCAACCCCUUCAAGAAUCUAGUCAUUGUAGCCUUUGGAUCCUCUAUCACGUCUACCCUCAUCCUCGCCUUUUCUAUUUUUUUAUGGUAAUCUUCAAUAGUUAGAUCACUCUAUACCAAAUUUUGCAACUUUUGAUGGAGGUCUCUGUGGUAGUAAGUAGGGAUGAAUCACUUUCUCAUCAAAGCUUUGAGCUCCUGUCAAGUACUAAUAGAUCACUCACCCGUCCUUCUUCCACUGAUAGUUAGCUAGUCCCACCAAGUGAUUGCAUAGUAUGAAAACACCACCACAGCCAACUUAACUUUCUGCAUCUUAAUGUAAUUAUGGCAAUUGAAAACAAGCUCCAUCCUACACUCCCAUUCUAGGUUAGUAUGGGGUCAAAUUUCCUUUGAAGAGAAGGGAUCUUAAACUUCGCUCCCUUUACUGCGGGAUCAUUAUCUUGAUAGCUACAGUAAUCAUUACAGUACUCUUGUCUUUUUGAAUCAACAAGAAAAGGUAGCUACGAAAUUAACACAAUCUAAACAAUGAAGAACACAAAAAACAAUGAGAAACAGAUAAGAACACUAUGAAUAGAAGAUUUAAAACCCUAAAAGCACAUAAACUCUAAUUUACGAUUUUUAAAAAAAAUGACUAAAAGGAAAAACAAAAAAUUAAAAGGGAUAUGACCUCACUUUGAGUCAAAUCUCUAAUACCAACUGAUACGAAUUCCCCUAGGAUGAGAGGAAUCCGCAAUCCCAUAGGAAAACCCCAGUUCGUAAGGAGACAGGUUUGAACAAAAUUUGGAUGGAAUUUGGGUAGGCCGGCCACAAUUUGGGUGAAUACCAAAUUAAUACGACACUCAAUCCACUCAAGAACACGCUCAAAGUGAAUCAAGAUUUGGAAUUAAGCAAGAGAAUCCACUCAAGUUUAGGAGAGACCUCAAAUGCUCAAAGUCAUAAACUCUCAACUGAAUAACCAUGUUUCAUACAGCGU